AAGUACUCGUGCGUGAGGGGUGAGGACCAGUGCUACCAAUUAGAAGGGUUGCAAAGUGGGGAAAUUAUCGGUUCCUUGGGAAUGGCAAUAAGUAGUUUCCGGCAAGGGCAAAGGACAGUUUUGGCAAGUGAAAAAAGAGACGUGCACGUGGUAGUGGGAACGCAGAGGAAGGUGACUAAAAACGCUAAUCAUAUAACAGAGUGGCGAAAAGGGGACUGGAGAGUACACUAGCGGAAUUUCGUAUGCUGAGGAGUAGCAGUAGAAGAGCGGCCUGUAAAGUGUGCUGUGCGCGGGUCGGCGCCGAGCGUCGGUGCAAAUUUUCAUACCUGCUGCGGAAGGCACCAACCGCCGAUAUUGUAUCUUGGGCAGGACCUCGGCCAUAGCGGGAGCCAGACCAUCUGUCAUUUCUGUGGAAUCCGGGCUAAGUACCCCUUUUUGACGCACCGUCUACAUAUAAGCACAAUUUAAGCACAGACACAAUAAUUAUAUACAGCCCACACACAUAUUCCGCUCAUACAUAGAACACAAAAUUUUAUAUACUCCACACACUCCUUUAUAUACACUCCAUACAUGUUCACAUACACCGUAUUCAAACACACACCGAAUUUCCAUAGCACUCAGACUCACAUUCAUCCCAUAGCCACAUAAUAUAAAAUACAAA